rnacentral:lncRNA from 1 species
AAAAAAAUACCCCUAUUUUUUAAUUUUUUUUUUAAAUUAACUGUAAUCUUAUUUAUUGGCCUGUUAAUGGAACCCUUCUUGCCCCUUUUAAGAUAAGAAAAUAUGUUUACGAUUUUCGGGAUUACGAUCAUUUUGCAAGAUCACCAAAAUACGUUGUAAUUUAUACAAUACUUAUAUAAAGUAGAUGAUGUGGUAUGUUUGUUGUCAAUGGACAAAUUUCCAUAAGAAACCGAAGGAAGUAUGUGUUAACAACCAU